GCGGCACCCCUGGCCUCUACCCACCCAAUGCCAGCGGCACCCCGCGCCAGUAGGACCCCUGCCUCUUGGUCUGCAGGAACCAUUGCCCCAAGGACGGCCUUGACCUCCCAAUUCUCGCAUCAUCUUCCUCGGCUGGAGGAGCAGCGUGAGCAUUAUUUCCAACUCGCACGAGAUGCAGCAGGCUCAGCUGGGAUGGGCUCAAGCCCUUCCGGUUACUGCUGAGAAUCUAACAGAAGCCCUCAAGGGUUUACAAUCUCAAGUUUUUAGGAGGUGGCUGCUGACCCGUUCUCCCUACACAGAGCAAAGCAGAAGAGAAUAUUCCAGACAAAGGUCUCGGUGAAAAUAGUGUCACUCUAAAGCUGCCUGUGGCCAUAUUCCCCAGCAAGGAAGCAGAACUCGUUUGCAACAGAGGGGAAGAAGGCAGACGAGAUCCUGCACUGAUGCGGAGAAGACUCUUGACUUUGAACCGUAAUGUCUGCUUUUAACCCAAGCAACAUCUGGCAGUUCGGAUUCGCAGUGAUUUGGGGUCGAAGGGGGUGGAGAGGGCAUGGUAACAAUGUGGACCAUGAAAGCGCUUCUUUAGAGAAAGCAAAGAUGCUUGCCUGGAAUUCCGCCGUGGGAAGGAGGCUCACGCUGACUCUCUGCGAUUGCUGGUGGCCGCCCUUGUCUGGGUGGACUGCAUUUUUCUUUAUUGAGGUAGAUCCGUUGAGCAGGAAAGGGCUUAUCAAAGGUGGGGAGAAACUCGGUGACCGUUUCAAACAUCUCAAGGUGGGAGAGACGAGAGCCUACUCUCAAAAGGGAGCGCAGGGCUUUGCCUGAGUUAAGAUGCUUUCUACAUCAUCGUGGGUCACUGCCGUGUCUCCCGACCCCAGCUGUACAUGAGUCACCUAGCUUCCCAGCUUGAAAAGAAAAAAAUUAAAAAGCCUCUUUCCCUCACCGGGCCGAUGUAAUUGGUUUGGGGUAAGGUCCAGGCAUUGAAUAUUUUUAAAGCUCCUCAGGUGACUCUUCAAGGUCGUCAAGGUCAAGAGGAAGCCAGCAGUUCUCAGAAUUCAGCAAAUAUCACAUUCACCAGGAGGACUUGUUAAAACACACUGCUGGGCCUCAGGCCUGAGUGUCUGAUUCGCCAGGUUUGGGGAGGAACCCAAUAAUUUGCAUUCCCCACAAGUUCCAGGCUGUUCUGAGUCACACUGGCCUUAAGUAUGAUUGAUUCGUUAAGAGUCCGUUAAGAAAGCAGACAGGUGUCUGGAUUUCUUUAAAUAUCGCUUUCGAGUUGUUGCUACUGGCAUAUAGUAAUUCAUAAUUCUUGAUCAUCUUUUUCAAGGUUGUUUUAAUAAAACCCUGUAGUUUCUACUUUUUAAGGAAGGAUAACGAGGGAGGACUCAUUUCUCUGCUGGCCCUGACUGCGGGGAUUACAUCUCCUUGACUCACCAGGCUGGACUGUAAGCGGUCUUUCCUCGCCCUGGGGUUAGCUUGCCUCAAUUGCAGACCAAAUACCAAACAGGAAACAUUUCUGAGUGUUGGGCUUCUGGAUCAAUCCCUAAGGUUGAGUGGCAGGCGACCAAUACUCCCGAUCUCCAUCCUGGAAGUAGGCGGAGCCCAUACAACUGGGAUCAAGCUAGUCACACGCCCAGAGGGAACUUGAGUAUCGAGGGCAUGAUGGAAAGGGGCUCCAGGGAAAAAUGGGUGGCCAUGGUAACAGCAACAACUAAGCAUCCUGGGGCCCGGAGGUAAGGGGUGGCCAUGCAUCAGCAUCCAGGCCAUUUUUUUCCUGCCCACCCCUGUCUGAUUCCUCUUCAUUUUCCCAGCCUGCUUCUCCAUCCUUCCCAUCAACUCCAUGAGCCUCCUGUUUCCUCUCCAAACAAUCUCUUUUUGCAGAAGUCAGCCAGUGUUGGCUCCCGUGGCUUACUACUGAGAACAUAUUGGAUGCCCUGAGAAGGUGCGUGGUAGGGGAAUAGCCUAAGAGUGGCAUCAGAAUUUUCAGACGGCCACAGCAUAGGGGGAAUAAUGGGUAAAGAAGUUCCCUAAGGACACUCACAAUUUGUCAUUACAGAGGAAAGCCUGCAUGUGGGGAAGCUUAAGGGGCUGAUGGAAGUAGAUUGGUCAAAGGGCAAGGGACCAGCGUUGGCGUACAGGGACAAGGUAGCAGGUAGACAGGAAGUGGUACCUAAGAAGCUCCCAGGCGGCUGAGCCUUCCCCUGAGUGACAGCUGUGCCAGAUGGAACAUUCUAUUGUUGGGGUAGUGGUGGUGAUGAUUUAAUUAGAUCGUUCCUGCUUUUUCUCUCUCCCUCGCCUGGUAGGAGGAUUAGCUUUUUCCCCUAUUUCUAAUGUUGGUUAAAAAUCGACAGGGCCUCAUAGGAAAGCCGUGAGCAAAAUGUUAUCACCAUAUUUCAUACAGCCUAAGACACCAGUGAUUGUACGGCACACCAUUAUUUUCUGAACCAGGAAAGAAAAAAAACCUGCCAAAUAAAUUGUGACAGUGACUGUAAAAUGAGCCCAAUUCCAGAAAUAUUAAAGUAUGAAAAAAACUGCAUCUCAGAAUCAAUAAAAUAUGGUAAUAAUAGGAAAAUAUGCCCCUCAGCUCUUAGUUACUAAGCCCUAUGUCCUGCUCUUUGCCUCUGUUUCCUCCCAGAAUCCCUCAGGAACACCACGUGGCAGGUGCCAUUACGAUCCAGCAAAAGUGAGGCUUCGGAAUUUGAGUAAAUUGGUCCCCCAGCUAGCAAAUGAUGGGUGCUGAAAACUGGGCUCCCUGGCUUUUUGGGGGUGAGCUGAGGAAAGAGUUGGAACCAAGAAAGGGCCUUGUCUUCUCAUAUAUCACUAGCAACACAGAUGCUCAAUAAAUAAUUGAAGGGCAUGACUGGUCCAAAGAGGUAAAAGGUAUUCACUUGACUUUUGAUGGUGGAACAAACUCUGCUCCCCUCCGCUGCUCACUCUUUCUGAAUAUCUAAGUACAAGGUAAUCGGUGGACACACUCUCCUUUUGAAAAUGAAAGCACUGUAGUUAAAGCUGAAGUCCCUUUGACGACUUGCCUUGAUCAAGUCUUCUCCCCUUCCUGCUACCCAGAGGUCAACGAGAUAGCCAUUUUAAUGUAUGUACUUCUGGAUGUUUCUGUGCUUUUAUGUCCUCAUGUGGAAAUAGGUCUAUUUCCACAUGUACGGAAAUUAUAUGGUAUUGUACUGUGGGGUUGUCUCCUGCACUUUUUUAAAAUUACCUUUCUUGAGACACAAUUUACCUACAACAAUGAUACUCAGUCUGCUCAGUUUUGGAAAAUGUACACCCAUACAACCACAACGCUGAAAAUCAAAGAACAAAGUAUUCUCAUGGCUAUUUAUCUCUGCUCAAAGUGCCAGCUCUAGGCAAACUCUGAUCUGCUUUCUGUCAGCACAGGUUUGCCUUUCCUAGGAUUUCAUACAAAUGGAAUCAUACAGCAGGCACUCUUUGGUGUCUGGGGUAUUUCACUCAGCAUAAUGGUUUUGGAAGUUCAUAUAAUUGCUGUACAUUUCAGCAACAUAUCCUGAGCUGUGCUGAGUUCCACUAUAUGAAUAAGCUACCGUUUAUUUAUUCAUUCUAUUGGUAGAGGAUUAGGUCAAUUCUAGUUUGGGACUUUUAUGAAUCAAGCUGUUAUGAACAUUAGAAUACAGGUCUUUGGGCAUUUUUUCACUUCUCCUAAUAUGUCGAGGUGGAAUUGGUCAGUCAUAUACUGUGUAUGUUUUGCUUUAUUAGAAACUGCCCAGUUAUUUCCCAAAGUGGCUGGACCGUUUUUCACUCUCACCAGCAAUGCAUGAGAAUUCCAACUGCUCCACAUUCUCACCAACCUGUGGUUGUAAGUCUUUUUA